UCCUAUAGAAAAAUCCUUUAUAUGUUCUCCAUUUUUGGGUUGAACUUGAGAAGCCAAUUCCCAUUCAAAUCCAAACCCACAAUAUACUGAAAACACCUUUCCUCCAUGCCAUCCCAGCUUUGGCUUUCCAAUAACUUCAUCUAACAAUUUCUCCUCUCACAAUGGAAACCAUUAUCCUCUUUCUCUCCCUCUUCCAAGCUCCUCAAAAAUUUGUUCAUUUGAGAUUCCCCUUCAAGCUUUCUCAAAUCCACAAAACCAAAAGAACCAGUCGCAUAUCCAUUACACAAACACACUGCAUUUCCUCAAUCCCCAUUGCAUCUACUAAUGCUUCUUCAUGUUUCAUCAUGUAUGGAUUGUGUUCCCAUUGUCCCGAAUGCGUUUCUUUUGUUCUCGGAUCAAAUAUGCUUAUUAUAUUGCUUUGAGGACUGUGAAUCGCUGCUAUUAAACAGUUGUUACUUGGUAGCCAUUGAAGCUUGAAGGUGUUGCCAAGCUCACUAUUGGGUGUACUUCCUAUGAAAUCUAUCUGCUGCCCUGUCGUUGUGUCCCAAACUCCAAUGACAUCCACUUUUGUGUAGUAGGUUUAUUAGAACACGCGAACUUCGACUUUGAGUGAGCAGAAGUAUAUGUUUAGGUUCAGCAGUUUGUGGAUUGAAGAGACCAAUAAUUCCAUCAUUAACAUCACCAAUAGUGUUUGGAUUUGAUUGCUUUUGGCAACUGAUUAAGAUGUUUUCUAAAUCAAACCACUCCAUAUCCACAAUCUUCAUAUAGUCAAGGUUUCCAAUUGAGAGUUCUUGGAGCAUCCAAUCAUAGACAUGAAAAACUCUGCCAUUGGCAAUUGAGCAACUACCAUUGGCACUUGCUCUGAUCAAUGAAUUAUCUUUCAGCAAAGUUCUACCAGUUAUGGAUGAUGCAAGUUUGAGAUUCUCACCGUCUAACUCGAAACCUGGUCUAGAAGUCCAUGGUUAUGAGCUACCCUGAAGAGAAGUGUGUCGGGAAUAGUUGGAGGAACAAGAAGCUCGCCGGUUCGAAGAAAAUGAAGAAGGACAGUGAAGCAAGUAGGGUCUCUAUCAAUGAAAUGCUCUCCAAAUUCCUCACAUUGUGCUGACCAUCCCUAGUUACUUUAAACUGUGGUGACAGACAAUAUGUUUCUUACACUUUUCUUUUGCUUUUUGAGUGUCCCCAUAGUUACUUUAAACUGUGGUGAUGACAAAUUCCUCUCAGUAUCCAAUUUUCUUAGUAUGAAAGAAAACUUCGAACAUGGAUAGCAAAUGAAAUUUAUCUACCUUUCUCUUUUGCUUUGAA